rnacentral:rRNA from 1 species
CAAUAGCGUAUAUUAAAGUUGUUGCAGUUAAAAAGCUCGUAGUUGGAUUUCGGGGCCCCGGACGCUCGUUGCGUUGUCUGCUGGACCUGUCCUGUGGGCGCGUGGCGGUCGUCGGUCUCUGAGUCGGAUCGGUCCGCCGAGAGGCGUGCACUGACCGACGGCCCCUGUUGUCUCUCGGGUUGCCCGCCUGCACUUAACUGUUGCGGACGGGGAGUUCGGGACGUUUACUUUGAACAAAUUAGAGUGUUCCAAGCAGGCCGUUUGCUUUGAAUACAUUAGCAUGGAAUAAUGGAAUAGGGCUGCGUGGCCUGUCGUCUGACGGCGGGUCCUCGUGUCCUAUUUUGUUGGUUUUCGGGACCGCAGUCAUGGUCAAGAGGGACAGUUGGGGGCAUUCGUAUUCAGUUGUCAGAGGUGAAAUUCUUGGAUUUACGGAAGACGAACAACUGCGAAAGCAUUUGCCAAGGAUGUUUUCAUUAA